rnacentral:rRNA from 1 species
AAUAGAUACCCGGGUAGUCCACGCCGUAAGCGAUGAGUGCUAAGUGUUAGGGGGUUUCCGCCCCUUAGUGCUGCAGCUAACGCAUUAAGCACUCCGCCUGGGGAGUACGGUCGCAAGACUGAAACUCAAAGGAAUUGACGGGGGCCCGCACAAGCGGUGGAGCAUGUGGUUUAAUUCGAAGCAACGCGAAGAACCUUACCAGGUCUUGACAUCCCAUUGACCACUAUGGAGACAUAGUUUUCCCUUCGGGGACAACGGUGACAGGUGGUGCAUGGUUGUCGUCAGCUUGUGUCGUGAGAUGUUGGGUUAAGUCCCGCAACGAGCGCAACCCUUGUUCUUAGUUGCCAUCAUUUAGUUGGGCACUCUAAGGAGACUGCCGGUGACAAACCGGAGGAAGGUGGGGAUGACGUCAAAUCAUCAUGCCCCUUAUGACCUGGGCUACACACGUGCUACAAUGGACGGUACAAACGGUUGCCAACCCGCGAGGGGAGCUAAUCCGAUAAAACCGUUCUCAGUUCGGAUUGUAGGCUGCAACUCGCCUACA